UGACCCCUGCGGUGUUCGUAAGAAAUAUAUUUUUGAAAAAAACCGAUAAACCCGACUCAGGGAAAUCAGGCCUUGAUGGAUCGGAAACGCCUACUCGAUAGGACUUUCGGACACAAGCAACGAUUACCCACUUGGAAAUACAGGGUUUUGUUCAAAUAAUUUCUUACGGCACCUGUGGAGGAAAG
rnacentral:other from 1 species